rnacentral:lncRNA from 1 species
UCUCAUUCUCUCUCUCAUCCCCAGGCCAGAGGCAGGCUCCAAUGGAGGCCACGGCAACGUGAAGAGUGGAGUUGGAGUUGUACUGCCCAUUUCCCCAACCCCAGUGAGAGAACCACCUCCACCCCCAAGAAACCAGGGCCACGCCAAGAACAACCCACGGCGCCCAGCUCGGUGCCCAAUUCCCCGAUCCCGCCACCGCCCACCGCGCGUGUUCGGCCGGCGAGUUCUUCUUGGCCUGGGUCGUUUCGUCUGUCCGUCGGUCGGAGCUCGGAAGGCAGGCAGGUAGGUAGGUCUCCAUUGUGAUCUGGGAAUUUGCCGGCCUCGCCUUGUUGGAUUUGGUUUACCGGGGCGUCCGCGAGAAAGUUGCGCGCUCUCCCUCUGCUUUUUCUCGCGGGGGGUCCAAGCUUUGAUCUGCGUCACACACCUGUUGUUCUUCUUAUCCUCAAGGCAUCCGAGCUGGAGGAGGGAGGGGCAGGCGGGCAGCGGACCACGGGCGGCACGUGACGAGCAGUUGGCGGUGGCGAGAAAGAGCAGCGACGAG